GGUGGCUCAGUGGUAGAGUGCUUGCCUUGCAUGCAUGAGGACCUGGGUUCAAUUCCUCAGCACCA
rfam:Dipodomys ordii contig_11637, whole genome shotgun sequence.